AUUGAACGCUGGCGGCAGGCCUAACACAUGCAAGUCGAACGAGUGGCGGACGGGUGAGUAAUGUCUGGGAAACUGCCCGAUGGAGGGGGAUAACUACUGGAAACGGUAGCUAAUACCGCAUACCAUCGGAUGUGCCCAGAUGGGAUUAGCUAGUAGGUGGGGUAAAGGCUCACCUAGGCGACGAUCCCUAGCUGGUCUGCGAGGAUGACCAGCCAGACUGGAACUGAGACACGUUCCAGACUCCUACGGGAGGCAGCAGUGGGGAAUAUUGCACAAUGGGCGGAAGCCUGAUGCAGCCAUGCCGCGUGUAUGAAGAAGGCCUUCGGGUUGUAAAGUACUUUCAGCAGGGAGGCGUUACUCGCAGAAGGAGCACCGGCUAACUCCGUGCCAGCAGCCGCGGUAAUUC
rnacentral:rRNA from 1 species